UGGGGGCGGGCUAGAAAACAGGCACCAACAGGUGUUGGAGAGGCUACAAAUCAGGCUAACCUGAGUGCUUAGGAUGACAUGGUCUUUCCAUCCUCGGGGCACUGUGGGAAGUUAAACUGCUGAGAGGCAUGCCUGCUUCCUAAAGAGUUGAUGGAUGUUUGAGCCAUUUCGUGACCCCUCUUCGACCCGGGUCACUGUCAAAACUCAGAGGAAGAUAUAUACGAGAGCUCCUGAAACACGACUCCAGGAGACGCGGAGAAGGAAAGAGAGAGAUUUAAAGGACACAAAUGUGUGACCACAAGUGAAAAGCUACACUUUCAGCCACUUUCACAGAUUAAAAUGUCACCGGCUUCCUCGCUAUGAACAAAAAGAGAUGGAUGUUCUUCAUCCACAGUCUGAUGUUCCUCGUCUUCUGUUCCAUUUCUGACAAAGUUGCCUCUUAAAUCAUGAUCGAUAAACAUGACAUUUCUUACAACUCUUACUUGAAUAAUUAUGAUUU